CCUACGGGAGGCAGCAGUGGGGAAUAUUGGUCAAUGGGCGCAAGCCUGACCCAGCGACGCCGCGUGAAGGAAGAAGGCUUUCGGGUUGUAAACCUCUUUUAAGGGGGAAGAGCAGAAGACGGUACUCCUUGAAUAAGCCACGGCUAACUACGUGCCAGCAGCCGCGGUAAUACGUAGGGGGCAAGCGUUUUCCGGAUUUACUGGGUGUAAAGGGCGGUCAGCCGGGAAGGCAAGUCUGAUGUGAAAGCCCGGGGCUCAACCCCGGGACUGCAUUUGAAACUGUUUUUCUAGAGUAUUGGAGAGGUAAGUGGAAUUCCUAGUGUAGCGGUGAAAUGCGUAGAUAUUAGGAAGAACACCAGUGGCGAAGGCGGAUUACUGGACAACAACUGACGGUGAGGCGCGAAAGCGUGGGGAGCAAACAGGAUUAGAUACCCCAGUAGUC
rnacentral:rRNA from 1 species